UACGUAGGGGGCGAGCGUUGUCCGGAUUUAUUGGGCGUAAAACGCUUGUAGGUGGCUACGUCAAGUCGGACGUGAAAUCUCCCGGCUUAACUGGGAGGGGUCGCUCGAUACUGGCGAGCUCGAGGCAGGUAGGGGGAAGCGGAAUUCCCGGUGUAGUGGUGGAAUGCGUAGAUAUCGGGAAGAACACCCGUGGCGAAGGCGGCUCUCUGGGACGGUACUGACGCUGAGACGCGAAAGCGUGGGGAGCGAACAGG
rnacentral:rRNA from 1 species